rnacentral:rRNA from 1 species
UACGUAGGUGGCGAGCGUUGUCCGGAAUUAUUGGGCGUAAAGAGCUCGUAGGCGGUUUGUUGCGUCGGCUGUGAAAUCCCGAGGCUCAACCUCGGGUCUGCAGUCGAUACGAGCAAACUAGAGUGUUGCAGGGGAGACUGGAAUUCCUGGUGUAGCGGUGAAAUGCGCAGAUAUCAGGAGGAACACCGGUGGCGAAGGCGGGUCUCUGGGCAGUAACUGACGCUGAGGAGCGAAAGCGUGGGGAGCGAACCGG